CAAGUCCCGUUUUAGCCCCGUGAGGAGACCCUGACCUUGCAUGCUCCUCCCUGCUCCAGGUGCAAGCCCUCUCUCCGCCUGAGCUCACACACACUGGAGAACCUGGGGGAAACGCUGUGUGAACACACAGAUCCUUUUCACAUGUCUUUUCUCCUCUUUGUAUCAUUGUAUUGGCUCGGGGUGAGUGUUCUAAACAGGAAGGUCUUAGUAUCAUUGUAUUGGCUCGGGGUGAGGGUUCUAAGCAGGAAGGUCUUUGUAUCAUUGUAUUGGCUCGGGGUGAGGGUUCUAAACAGGAAGGUCUUUGUGUCAUUGUAUUGGCUUGGGGUGAGGGUUCUAAACAGGAAGGUCUUUGUAUCAUUGUAUUGGCUCGGGGUGAGUGUUCUAAACAGGAAGGUCUUAGUAUCAUUGUAUUGGCUCGGGGUGAGGGUUCUAAGCAGGAAGGUCUUUGUAUCAUUGUAUUGGCUCGGGGUGAGGGUUCUAAACAGGAAGGUCUUUGUGUCAUUGUAUUGGCUUGGGGUGAGUGUUCUAAACAGGAAGGUCUUUGUAUCAUUGUAUUGGCUCGGGGUGAGUGUUCUAAACAGGAAGGUCUUAGUAUCAUUGUAUUGGCUCGGGGUGAGGGUUCUAAGCAGGAAGGUCUUUGUAUCAUUGUAUUGGCUCGGGGUGAGGGUUCUAAACAGGAAGGUCUUUGUGUCAUUGUAUUGGCUUGGGGUGAGGGUUCUAAACAGGAAGGUCUUAGUGUCAUUGUAUUGGCUCGGGGUGAGUGUUCUAAACAGGAAGGUCUUUGUAUCAUUGUAUUGGCUCGGGGUGAGGGUUCUAAACAGGAAGGUCUUAGUGUCAUUGUAUUGGCUCGGGGUGAGGGUUCUAAACAGGAAGGUCUUUGUAUGGAUUGUAUUGGCUCGGGGUGAGGGUUCUAAACAGGAAGGGGUGGUGAUUUCUCCUGUAUUCUCUUCUUUCAGUGGGUUGCCUAAACCCCACCCCAUAGGCCCCUAUAUUCAAAUAAUGAAGAAAAACUGAGAUGGUAUGACAUGGUGUAAUAAUCACAAGAUCAUAAAGUCAGAGGCUUGUCAUAAUUAUUACACGGUUUGAUAACGCCAGAGGAAAUGAGCCCCUGGCCAUAGUUGUAAUGAGUACGCUGAGAGUCGGGAAGCAAGUUCAGGGAGUGAAUAAAUGUAAUAAAUAAAUGAACAAAACAAGAAACACAAACAGCGCACCGACAUCAAAUCAAAGUAUAUUUGUCACGUGUGCCGAAUACAACAGGUGUAGACCUUACAGUGAAAUGCUUAUUUACAGGCUCUAACCAAUAGUGCAAAAAAAGGUAUUAGGUGAACAAUAGGCAAGUAAAGAAAUAAAACAACAGUAAAAAGACUAGCGAGGCUAUAUACAGUAGCGAGGCUAUAUACAGUAGUGAGGCUAUAACAGUAGCGAGGCUAUAUACAGUAGCGAGGCUAUAUACAGUAGUGAGGCUAUAACAGUAGCAAGGCUAUAUACAAACACCAGUUAGUCAGGCUGAUUGAGAUGGUAUGUAAAUGUAGAUAUGGUUAAAGUGACUGUUCAUCAUAUAUGCAUAGAGAGUAGCAGUAGCAACAUGACGCAGGAACAAUGACGACUGGGGAAGAAACCAAAGGGAGUGACAUAUAAAGAGCAGGUAAUCAAGGACGUGAUGGAGUCCAGCUGAGUGUCAUUAUGCGCGUAACCAUGGUGACAGGUGUGCUCCCUAACAAGCAGCCUGGUGACCUAGAGGCCGGAGAGGGAGCACACUUGACAGUAGUUAAGGUUUCCUGAUGCUAUAAUAAUAAAAAAACGAAAUCUCUGAUGGACUGAACCAUCUAGAGUACAUGGCCCAGUGGGUCAUCUCUGAUGGACUGAACCAUCUAGAGUACAUGGCCCAGUGGGUCAUCUCUGAUGGACUGAACCAUCUAGAGUACAUGGCCCAGUGGGUCAUCUCUGAU
rnacentral:lncRNA from 1 species